GACGAACGCUGGCGGCGCGCCUAACACAUGCAAGUCGAACGGAGCUUUUGAGAGCUUGCUUUUAAAGCUUAGUGGCGAACGGGUGAGUAACGCGUGAGUAACCUGCCCUGGAGUGGGGGACAACAGUUGGAAACGACUGCUAAUACCGCAUAAGACCACGUCCUCACAUGAGGGAGAGGUAAAAGGAGCAAUCCGGUUUGGGGUGAGUUCGCGUCCGAUUAGCUAGUUGGUGAGGUAACGGCCCACCAAGGCGACGAUCGGUAGCCGACCUGAGAGGGUGAUCGGCCACAUUGGGACUGAGACACGGCCCAA
rnacentral:rRNA from 1 species